GUGCUCACUCUGGCAGCACGUGCACUAAAAUUGGUACAGUGCAAAGAUUAGCACGGCUUCUGCGCAAGGAUGACUCGCAAAUUGGUGCAGUUUUCCAUAUUCUU